CCCACGCCUCCGCCUCCGCUCGCCCUCGCCGCCGCCGCCGACUCCGCCUCCGCCUCCGCUCACCCUCGUGCCGUCAUGUCUUCUCCUCCUCUCCGCCCUCUCGGUGCUCCUACCAGGCGAGCGCGAGCGCGAGCAACUAGAGAGGAACGGCCACGGGCCUCUCCCUUAGUGGCGCUGGCGCCGGCGGCUCACUCUGCAGGCCCCCUGCCUCGUGGGGCUCAUGGCCCCCUCCCUCCGCGGUGCCGGCGCCGGUGGCUCCCUCCUCCGCGGGCUCCCUGCCUCAUGGGGCCUGGCGGCCUCGCGCACAGACGAAUCGUCGCCGGCGCCUCCUUCAACUAGGUCCUGCGCGCCAAGAAGGCCGUUGCCGCCUCCUGCAAGGACGAACCAGACGCCGUCGCCCAGGAUGAAGAACUACCAACCUAAAAAGGGAAAAUUGUGAAAAUUGCCAUGCUCAGGAUUUACAAUGUGGGGCAAAGAGAAUCACCAUGCUACAUCAAUGAAAAAAGCAGGGGCGGAGCCAGGGUAGCACUUGGCCCCAAGGCUGCUUUGGUGCUACAGUGUGAAAUAGGUUUUUUUUUUUGAAAAGGGGGAUUCCCCGGCCUACAGUGUGAAAAA